UCAGAUGUGAGUUACAUAAAAGUUGAAAAGUUGGUUUUGUUCAGUUACAUGCACUGUUUGUUUUGUUCACAUUUCUUUUUGCUAUUUGAAAAAAUUCAAAUGUAUACAUUUAUUCUUGAUUUCGGCUUGUGCUUGGAGUGACGAAGAGUGGAGAAAAUUUCCAGCAAUAAGAUUGGAUCCAAAAUACAAAGACGAGAAAGAUAUAAAUAAUGGAUGGGCGUCCGGAGUGUAUAGGGUGUCCGGAAAUUGCAAAUCCAAACGAUCCAAUCAUAGUUGCGCAAGCGAAAUAUGCAGCUCUAAUUGUGUCGUGGAUGAAAUAAAAACAGCAACAAAGCAGCUUGUCAAUGGUUGGAACUACAUCAAGAAUAUCAUAGUUUCCAGGGGAAAAGAUGCUAAGGGGCAACAGAAAUGGGAUUGUCAAGUGGACACGUAUGAGGGUCCAUUCGGUGCUAAGAUAGAGCAGAAGAAAUAGACGUCGGCUAAAUGUAAACUUGUUCAGUAACUGAAUGUCAUCUGAAUUGUUACCAUGCAGUUCUUGCAAAUGGCGUCAUUUCGUGUAUAUGCGUUUCCAUGUACUUUUUUUUCUGUUCACUGAAAAAGAACAUAUGACACCGAUAUCUAAUUUCAUAACAAAACAAACAAAACUGUUUACACAUGUGUUAAUUUAAUAAGCAUAUUAAACAAUAUGUUAUACUCCCUUAACAAAUAUGAGUUCUUUAUUGGAAAUGAAUGGUGGACAUUGUAUUUGUUAAGGUAUGCCGACAAAAUGUUUGCUAUUUCAGAAUAAAAGUAUGAAAAGGCAUUACUGGUUUCAACACGAGAAUUCAUGUUAUGUUCAUGGGUGUAUUAAGAAAAUAGUUAAAGCUACUAUGCCGCACAUGUAUUGCCAUAUAAGAAAUAAUGUUUGGUUUGUUAAAAUGAUCACUGUAGUGUUGGUUUAUUUACCUGUA